UACAGAGGGGGCAAGCGUUAUUCGGAAUUAUUGGGCGUAAAGGGCGCGUAGGCGGCUCAUGAAGGCUGUGGUGAAAGUCCGGGGCUCAACCUCGGAUCGGCCGUGGCGACUCGUGGGCUGGAGCACUGUAGAGGCAGGUGGAAUUCCGGGUGUAGCGGUGGAAUGCGUAGAGAUCCGGAAGAACACCAGUGGCGAAGGCGGCCUGCUGGGCAGUGGCUGACGCUGAGGCGCGACAGCGUGGGGAGCAAACAGG
rnacentral:rRNA from 1 species